GUUUUUACUAAGUUUUUUUUUUUUUUUUUCACCUUUCAUGAAAAUCAAGAAAUAUAAUUCAUUACCCUGUGGAAGUAGAGAAUUCCCCAUCACAGAAGCUGUUAAUACACAGUUAGUGUCCCCUAGAGUCGGUCUGAACAUGAUGGAGAGCAUUUAGCAGCCCUCAGAAAUCCAGGAUUUUGAACUGAAUACUACAAAUGUUUGAGUUUCCUCUCUCUUGAAGAAUAGGAAGAAGUAUACUCUCCCCUUUUCUUUCCUCCUACCUCUGGCUGAACGACAAACAAGAAGUGACUUCUGAAAAGGUAGAAAAAGGAGAUGAAGAGAAGAGAAGAAAGGAAGGCAGGCAGGCAGGAAGAAUGAAGGAGGGAAGAAAGAGAAAGAGAAAGAGAGGAAGGGAGGAAGAGAGGAAGGAAGGAAGGAAGCAAGCAAGGAAGGAAGGAAGAAAAGAAUAGAGAAAAAAAGAAAGAACAGAAGAAAAGAAGAAAGGAAUAAAGGAAAAAAAGAAGAAAAUGAAGAAAAAACAAAUGAAGAUAAAGGAAGUGGGACAGAGCCAUAUCAUGUAAGGUUUUAUAGGCCGUGAAGAAAAUUUGGGCCUUUCAAAUAAAAUGAGAAAUCAUUGAGAGUUUUAAGUGGAAGAGUUACAUCCAUUUUAUUAUUGAAGAAGUGAAUUUUGGCUGCUGUGUGGGAAAUGGCCUGGACUGUGGUAAGAGUGGAGGAAGCAGGAGCAAAUUGGGACGCUACGUAAGUUGUUCAGAAGAGAGAUGAUAGUGGCACGGAA
ensembl:lncRNA